rnacentral:rRNA from 1 species
CCCUACGGGGUGCAGCAGGCGCGAAACCUUUACAAUGUGCGAAAGCAUGAUAAGGGAACUCCGAGUGCCAGUAUCUAACACUGGCUGUCCUUGUGCCUAAAACGCACAAGAUAGCAAGGGCCGGGUAAGACCGGUGCCAGCCGCCGCGGUAACACCGGCGGCCCGAGUGGUAGCCGCUAUUAUUGGGUCUAAAGGGUCCGUAGCCGGUUCGAUAAGUCCUCUGGGAAAUCUGGUUGCUUAACAAUCAGACUGCCAAGGGAUACUGUCGAACUUGAGACCGGGAGAGGUAAGAGGUACUUCAGGGGUAGGAGUGAAAUCUUGUAAUCCCUGGGGGACCAUCUGUGGCGAAGGCGUCUUACCAGAACGGGUCUGACGGUGAGGGACGAAAGCUGGGGGCGCAAACCGGAUUAGAUACCCGGGUAGUCCCAGCCGUAAACGAUGCUCGCUAUGUGUCAGGUACGGUGUGACCGUAUCUGGUGCCGUAGGGAAGCCGUGAAGCGAGCCACCUGGGAAGUACGGCCGCAAGGCUGAAACUUAAAGGAAUUGGCGGGGGAGCAC